UACAGAGGGUGCGAGCGUUGUUCGGAAUUAUUGGGCGUAAAGGGCGCGUAGGCGGUGCCACAAGUCACUUGUGAAAUCCCCGGGCUUAACUCGGGGCCUGCAGGCGAAACUGUGGUGCUGGAGUAUGGGAGAGGUGCGUGGAAUUCCCGGUGUAGCGGUGAAAUGCGUAGAUAUCAGGAGGAACACCAAUUGCGAAGGCAGCUCGCUGGGACGUUACUGACGCUGAGACGCGAAAGCGUGGGGAGCAAACAGG
rnacentral:rRNA from 1 species